UACGGAGGGUGCAAGCGUUAAUCGGAAUUACUGGGCGUAAAGCGCGCGUAGGCAGUUUGGUCAGUUGGAUGUGAAAGCCCAGGGCUCAACCUUGGAAUUGCAUUCAAUACUGCCAGGCUAGAGUACAAGAGAGGGAGGUAGAAUUUCUAGUGUAGCGGUGAAAUGCGUAGAUAUUAGAAGGAAUACCAGUGGCGAAGGCGGCCUCCUGGCUCGAUACUGACGCUGAGGUGCGAAAGCGUGGGGAGCAAACAGG
rnacentral:misc_RNA from 1 species